GGCCCUGGGGGGGUUGGAGCCCCCUUAAAAGUUUGUAAAGURACCUGCCCUUAAGUGGGGGAUAACAUUUGGAAACAGAUGCUAAUACCGCAUAGAUCCAAGAACCGCAUGGUUCUUGGCUGAAAGAUGGCGUAAGCUAUCGCUUUUGGAUGGACCCGCGGCGUAUUAGCUAGUUGGUGAGGUAAUGGCUCACCAAGGCGAUGAUACGUAGCCGAACUGAGAGGUUGAUCGGCCACAUUGGGACUGAGACACGGCCCAAACUCCUACGGGAGGCAGCAGUAGGGAAUCUUCCACAAUGGACGCAAGUCUGAUGGAGCAACGCCGCGUGAGUGAAGAAGGCUUUCGGGUCGUAAAACUCUGUUGUUGGAGAAGAAUGGUCGGCAGAGUAACUGUUGUCGGCGUGACGGUAUCCAACCAGAAAGCCACGGCUAACUACGUGCCAGCAGCCGCGGUAAUACGUAGGUGGCAAGCGUUAUCCGGAUUUAUU
rnacentral:rRNA from 1 species